rnacentral:rRNA from 1 species
AUAAAACUGGCGUGCACUAAUUAUAUUUAAUAUGCUGGAACUAAAAACAUUUAUAAAUUAAGUAAAGGUGAUUAAAAAUUAUUAAAUUCGCUUAGGCUAAGUACUGCAAAGGAAUUACAUAAAAAUUAGUCAUAAAUAAGAAGAUAUAGAAUUUCGUACCUUUUGCAUCAUGGUUUAGCUAGAUAAACUACUCAGUAUUGAGACUCUCGAAAUCUAAUGAGCUAUCUUUAAUCUGUUUUUUAGAACUAAUAAAGUAAUUGUGGCAAAAAUUUUUUUAGAAUUUAAGAUAGAAAUGAAAUUUUAUUCGUAUUAGAUGAUAGCUAGUUCUUCAUUAAAAACAUAGAAGUGUUAUGAAUUAGGGUGUCUAUUAGAAGUUUAUUUUCUAAUAUAAAACUUAAUUUAAUUAAAUUUUCGAGGAUAAGCUCGAGAAUAACCAUGAUAAGAUAUAUUUAAUUUUAAUUAAUAUUUAAGCUUGAAAAUAGCUAUAAUUUAGAGUUUGUUAUAAUCUCAUUAAAUUAAUUAGAAAUAUAAUAAAUCUAUUUACACGUUAAAUGAAGAAAACCUACAAAUAAGAACAUAAGUUAUUUUUAUGCUAAAAUGAGUAUUUUAUUUAUAACUAUAGGUUUUUAACGAAAAGUAUAAUUUGAAAUUAUAAAUUUUUUUUAGUAUUAAAAUCAAGAAAAGGAACUCGGCAAAAAUCAAAAUAUUCCGCCUGUUUAUCAAAAACAUCGCUCCUCGUGAUAUAAAAUUGAGGAGUCGGACCUGCCCGGUGAAAAUUUUUAACGGCCGCGGUACUCUGACCGUGCAAAGGUAGCAUAAUCAUUUGCCUUAUAAUUGAAGGCUAGUAUGAAUGGUUUGACGAGAAUAUUACUGUCUCUACUUGAUUUAUUAGAAAUUUAUCUUUAGGUGAAGAAGCCUGAAUGAAAUUAAAAGACAAGAAGACCCUAUCGAGCUUGAAAUAAAUUAAUAGAUUAAGAACAAUAGUCAAUAAAAGUAUCAACUAUUAAACAUUUUGGUUGGGGCGACUAAGGAACAAACAAAGCUUCCUCAUAUAAAAACAGGUUUACUAACACUGAUCCAAAAAUUUUGAUUAAUGGAAUUAGUUACCGUAGGGAUAACAGCAUUAUCUUUUUUGAGAGCUCUAAUCGAAAAAAAGGUUUGUGACCUCGAUGUUGGACCAGAAUAUCCCAAAGGUGUAGCAGCCUUUAAAGGUUGGUCUGUUCGACCAUUAAAAUUCUACGUGAUCUGAGUUCAGACCGGCGUGAGCCAGGUCAGUUUCUAUCUUUAAUUAUUUGUAGUCAGUUUAGUACGAAAGGACCAACUUACUGUAGCAAAGCUAUUAUAAAUUUGAAGUAAUAUAAUAUUAAGUGUUAAAAAUGAAGUAUGCUA